rnacentral:rRNA from 1 species
AACGAACGCUGGCGGCGCGCCUAAUACAUGCAAGUCGAGCGAGAAGACGUAGCAAUACGUUUGUAAAGCGGCGAACGGGUGAGGAAUACAUGGGUAACCUACCCUCGAGUGGGGAAUAACUAGCCGAAAGGUUAGCUAAUACCGCGUACGCUCCUUGGACUUCGGUUCAGGGAGGAAAGCGAUACCGUGGGUAUCGCGCUCUUGGAUGGGCUCAUGUCCUAUCAGCUUGUUGGGAGGUAACGGCUCACCAAGGCUUCGACGGGUAGCUGGUCUGAGAGGACGAUCAGCCACACUGGCACUGCGACACGGGCCAGACUCCUACGGGAGGCAGCAGUAAGGAAUAUUGCGCAAUGGGCGAAAGCCUGACGCAGCGACGCCGCGUGGGGGAUGAAGGUCUUCGGAUUGUAAACCCCUUUCGGGAGGGAAGAUGGAACGAGCAAUCGUUCGGACGGUACCUCCAGAAGCAGCCACGGCUAACUUCGUGCCAGCCGCCGCUGUAAU